GGCUCUGUAGCUCAAUUGGUUAGAGCGUUGGCUGUACAAAAGCUCUCCCUUUUCUGGCGUGGGUUUGAAUCUCACCGAGGCCU
rnacentral:tRNA from 1 species